UACGGGGGGGGCAAGCGUUGUUCGGAAUUACUGGGCGUAAAGCGCACGUAGGCGGAUCGUUAAGUCGGGGGUGAAAUCCUGGAGCUCAACUCCAGAACUGCCUUCGAUACUGGCGAUCUUGAGUCCGGAAGAGGUGAGUGGAACUCCUAGUGUAGAGGUGGAAUUCGUAGAUAUUAGGAAGAACACCAGUGGCGAAGGCGGCUCACUGGUCCGGUACUGACGCUGAGGUGCGAAAACGUGGGGAGCAAACAGGG
rnacentral:rRNA from 1 species